rnacentral:lncRNA from 1 species
UCAAUGUUUCAGCCCUAAUUUUAAACUUUAAUAAUUUAAGGCUUUUGGCCCUGUGAUUUGGCUCAGUGAGUAAAAGCUCAUGCCUAGCAAGCCUGAAGUCCUGGUUCAAGCCCUGAGACCUUUUCAGCACUCACAAGAUGAGAUGGGAGGCAGAGAAGGGACGAUGUUUCAACAGCUCUCCAGCCAGCAGCCUACAAUCAAAAUUUUCAUGAAGACCCUGACUGGCAAGAGCAUCACCCAGAGGUGGAGCCCAGAAUGGGGAAGCCAAGAUCUAGGAUACAUAAGGAUGGCAAUCCACAGACCAGCCGAGGACCAUCUUUGCAGCCCAGAAGCAGGGGCAUGGCUACAUGUUUCUAACUAUAACACCCAGAAAGAGUCAACCUUGCACCUGGACCUACAUCUGAGGUGUGGGUAUUAAUUCUUCAGUCUGCAUGCCCAGCAGGCGAUGAUGGCAUUACUCUGCACUGUAGUCAUUUGCUUAGAUUUGUGUUUACAAAUUAUGUUUCAAUAAUAGCUGUAUCUCUUGUUAAAAAUGUUAUUAAGGUUUCGUUGAAUGGUA